UACGAAGGGGGCUAGCGUUGUUCGGAUUUACUGGGCGUAAAGCGCACGUAGGCGGAUCGUUAAGUCAGGGGUGAAAUCCUGGAGCUCAACUCCAGAACUGCCUUUGAUACUGGCGAUCUCGAGUCCGGAAGAGGUGAGUGGAACUCCUAGUGUAGAGGUGGAAUUCGUAGAUAUUAGGAAGAACACCAGUGGCGAAGGCGGCUCACUGGACUGGUAUUGACGCUGAGGUGCGAAAGCGUGGGGAGCAAACAGG
rnacentral:rRNA from 1 species